UGGACAAAAUCUUGAACCCUCCUCCCUCUUUCUUUCCCAUGAACCCAGAAUCUAGACAAAGUUACGAGGCACUGAGCUUAUACCUUCUAUUCGACGCCAACCUUGGCCGUACAAUUUCAAGGCUACAAGGAACUUCUGAUGCUCCUCCUCUAAAUCUUGAACCCUCCCUCUUUCUUUCCCCUUAGACCCCAAAUCUCCCUCUCACUCAUAUCUUCCUCUCUUUUUCCCGUGAACCCUAAAAUCAAGUUGCAACAUGGUUGAACAAUGGACUGGAUUCGAACUUCUGCAGAAAGCGCUUUCUGUAUUUAACUUUUCCAAAGCCGGCAACAAUUGAACUCAACUUCUGCUGCCUUUCAAAUUUCUUUAAUUCUAAAGGAGGUACUUUUCUAUGCUAUGCUUUGAAAAUUUUGCCUCUGCACCCAAUUUGUCUGUUGGAAAGAACAAGUUGCGAUUGUUUAGAGAAAUCUGGAUAUCAUUUUGCUUUCUUGAUUUGGAUAUGAUUUGGGGUCUGUUGAAUUUGCUCUAUGAAUGUUUAAAUUUUCUC